UCAAACUUACUUUUUUACCCAUUUGUCUCCUUUUGUGAAAGAGAACCUCCAUGUGUGUUUUGUUAAAGGUUAAUAUGUAAAUAUUAAUAUAGAUACUAAACUCAGAUAAUCUCUACUAAUAAAAGAGAACUUUUGAGGCUCCAUAGGGCGUCCACAUAAGCGAAAAAAAUUUCUCCCGAAAGAUGACACGUGGCAUAAAAUAUAGUUUUACAUUUUCUCUACUAAUAAAAGAGAACUUUUGAGGCUCCAUAGGGCGUCCACAUAAGCGAAAAAAAUUUCUCCCGAAAGAUGACACGUGGCAUAAAAUAUAGUUUUACAUUUUAAUAUUACUUAUUUUCGAAAAUUGUAAAAAAUAUGUAAACAUACAGCAUAAAAAAUGGAAAAACUACAUAAAACACAUGUAAGAUUACUAUUUUUCACUUAAAAAAAAAGACGGCUUAUCUCCAUAAUGUAACAUUACCGUUUUAUAAAAAAAACAAAAAAACAUUAUAUAUAAUUUCGAAAAUAAUAAAUAUAUGUAAAACAUACAACAUAAAAAUAGAAAUACUACAUUAAACAUAUGUAAGAUUACCAUUUUACAUUUAAAAAUAACAAUAAUAUGUAAACAUACAACAUAAAAAAAUGGAAAAUUUACAUUAAACAUAUGUAAGAUUACCAUUGUUCACUAAAAAACGGUUUAUCUUCAUAAUGUAACGUUACCACUUUAUAAAAAAAAGAAAAAAAAACAUAAAUAUAACUAUUUGACUAUUUGUCCAAGUUCUUCUAUUAAACAUUGCCGUUUUACAUUAAAAAUGGAAAAAUACGUAAAUAUUUAAACAUCUAUCUUAAAAUAUAAAAUAUAGACAUUAACUAAAUAUAAAGUAUAAGAAAGAGAAAUACUCUCAAUAUAUAAAAAAAUAAAUAAUAAGUAAAUAUUAUAAAUAUACGAAUUAUAUAUACAAUAAUAAGUAAAUGCACAAUUUUAAAAAAAUGGAAAGAGUACAUUAAAUAUUAAACAUCUAUCUUAAAAUGUAAAAUAUAGAUAUUAAGUAAAUAGAAAGUAUAAGAAA
rnacentral:lncRNA from 1 species